UUAUCCUCGGCUAACUUUUCAAGGAUGUUUAUGUGGUGAACAGACUUGGAAAGUAGAGACAAUGUCUCCUUAAGAGCAGAGGGCAGGUUUUUGGUUGUGCAAUAUUAAUAAAGAUAAUACCACCAUCUGGGGCAAAGAUCAGGCAGGCUUACUGCCCAUUACAAAAAGACUAGAUUUCUUAAGCUUGGGGUACCUCGUCUGUAUCCCUGGCACUGUAUGCAGGCAGCAGCUGGCCCCCAGCUUCAGCCUGUGGGAAUGGGAGAUUGGAAGAAAGGUGCAAAUGCUGGCUCUCUGGCUACUACUGCUGCUGCAGUGGUCUGGGACCUGGGAACUUUGUGCCUUCUGCUGUGAGCCAAUGGCAGACAAACUUGGGGGUUUGCAAGCAGAAUUUCCUGGAUAUUUGGAGAAUUCUGAAAGUAAUAUUUCCCAACAAUCCUAAGCUCCCUUGGCAAUUUCAAUGUGCAGCCAGCCAAGGUAAAGAACCACAGCAUGGAGGACUAAUUUGUCAGUACUACAGACCUUGGUCUCAGGAGCUGAGUGCAGAAGGGUGGAAGCAGUUUCAGGAGUUGGUGAGGACACAGAGAAAAAAAAGGCUCUUAAUCUGCAGUUUUGAGUUCUACUGAAGUGAAGGUCUUGGUAUUCAAGAGAAGAAUGCUUCCAACAGGGGACACAACAAUGGUUGCAUGAAUUAGAAAACAGAUUGCCAGUUGGCAUUUUGGGGCUCUUCAUGCUACUGAACCAAGAGGCAAAGAAAAGAGAUUGCUCUACAGGACGUAUUGAUCCCUAUCAGCUAGGAACUGGACUUACACAAUGGUAGAAAAGAGGAGUGUCUGCAACCCAGAAGAUUCUCUGGGUAUCUCUCAACACUUGUAAGUUUAAUAGUAAAAGUUAAUGAAAACUACAACAGCAGAAAUAUGCAGAACCACUGAAGAAUCAGAUCCUUAUGAGGUUUGGGUUGCCUUGUCAGGAAAAGCAUCUCAGCCAGCUGAGGUUCUUGCUGAGAGAUCAUAGAGUAUGGAAUAAGGAAACCAUAACCAUCAACUUUAUGGCUUUGUGACCAUUUCAUUUCCACUCACAAGGAUUACAGCAGCUAUGCAUGUUUUCUUCUUGCUUUUUAAAAAAAUGCACAAGCAUGUAUACACAAGCACACUAACUUCUUUAUUCUUCCAUUCUUGUCCUAAUGUUAUUAUUACUAUUACUCUCAGCUUCACACUCUGUGAUGAUGGAAUAGGAUCUCGCAAAUCCUUUAUCUCCUUUGCCGCAUGACACCCUGUUAGACUCUGUCAACAGGGGGAGCUAGGGAGAGACUGCAAGGCAGCAUAGGGAAGGAGGGGCUGCUGCAUCUUUUAUAUGUCACAUGAAGCAGGUCUUCAUCCUUACAGCAACAGGUGAUUAUAGCAGUAGCAGUGUUCCCACACUAUGAGAACCAGCCACAUUGGUCCCCUCAGAUCACUUGUUGGACAGUGACAUUACUGAGAAGUCUGGGUUUCAAUUUUAUAAGGCCCCUUUCAAGGCUACAAGCUAACAAUCACAUCUUUUUGUUCUUUAAGUUUUAGGAGUGGUAGACACUUCUUAAAGUGUGUCUCUGGGACACUGCUCUGUCUCCCUUUUGC